ensembl:rRNA 5S_rRNA 5S ribosomal RNA
GCUUACGGCUAUACCAACCUGGCUAUGCCCGAUCUCGUCUGAUCUCGUAAGCUAAGCAGGUUUGGCCUGGUUAGUACUUGGAUGGGAGACCGCCUGGGAAUACCAGGUGCUGUAAGCU